AACGCGAAGAACCUUACCAAGCCUUGACAUCCGGCUGGCCGGUGAGUAAUUUCACCUUUCCUACGGGACAGCCAGGACAGGUGGUGCAUGGUUGUCGUCAGCUCGUGUCGUGAGAUGUUGGGUUAAGUCCCGCAACGAGCGCAACCCUUAUCCUCAGUAGCCAACACUAACGGUGGGCACUCUGGGGAGACUGCCAGGGACAACCUGGAGGAAGGCGGGGAUGACGUCAAAUCAUCAUGCCCCUUAUGGCUUGGGCUACACACGUGCUACAAUGGCGUAAACAAAGGGAGGCGAAGGGGUGACCCGGAGCAAAUCCCAGAAACAACGCCUCAGUUCGGAUUGUAGUCUGCAACCCGACUACAUGAAGCCGGAAUCGCUAGUAAUCGCGGAUCAGAAUGCCGCGGUGAAUACGUUCCCGGGUCUUGUACACACCG
rnacentral:rRNA from 1 species